rnacentral:lncRNA from 1 species
CAAUAAUUGGUCAGUCAGUUGAAGUAGUUGAGGGUGGUUCUUUACAUUAUUUGAUGGAAAAACAUGUAUAUAUGGUGUUUUUUUCCAGGUAUUAUAUGUGUUGACAACUGUACAAGACAUCCUAUUGAAGACAGUUGUGAGUGAGCAACAACCCAAGACACCUUGUUAAUGCUGCCCUGUUACCUACUGAGUUUCUACAUACAAGUCAAGUAUCCAUCAAAGAUUGGCCAUGGUGUUUACAGAACUGAAAGCCAAGCUGUGAUUUUUGAAAAUUUAUUAUAAAGUUCUAAAUGGAAAUACAAUUUGAAAAGCA